AACGAACGCUGGCGGCAUGCCUAACACAUGCAAGUCGAACGAGACCUUCGGGUCUUGUGGCGCACGGGUGCGUCACGCGUGGGAACCUUCCCUUAGGUUCGGCAUAACUCCCCGAAAGGGGUGCUAAUACCGGAUAAUGUCUUCGGACCAAAGAUGUAUCGCCCUUGGUUGGGCCGGCGUUGGAUUAGCUAGUUGUUAGGGUAAAAGCCUACUAAGGGGACGAUCCAUAGCUGGUCUGAGAGGAUGAUCAGCCACACUUGGACUGAGACACGGCCCAGACUCCUACGGGAGGCGGCAGUGGGGAAUAGUGGACAAUGGGGGAAAGGCUGAUCCAGCAAUGCCGCGUGAGUGAUGAAGGCCUUAGGGUUGUAAAGCUCUUUUACCCGGGAUGAUAAUGACAGUACCGGGAGAAUAAGCUCCGGCUAACUACGUG
rnacentral:rRNA from 1 species